GUCCUUGCCGUAAACGAUGUAUACUUGAUGUAAUUGGGCUCAACCCUGAUUGUGUCGAAGCUAACGCGAUAAGUAUACCGCCUGGGGAGUACGCUCGCAAGGGUGAAACUCAAAAGAAUUGACGGGGGCCCGCACAAGCAGUGGAGCAUGUGGUUUAAUUCGAUGCAACGCGAAGAACCUUACCCAGGCUCGAAAUGUAAUGGACGAUAUCAGAGAUGGUAUUUCCCGCAAGGGCUGUUAUAUAGGUGCUGCAUGGCUGUCGU
rnacentral:rRNA from 1 species